rnacentral:rRNA from 1 species
CCUACGGGAGGCUGCAGUGGGGAAUAUUGCACAAUGGGGGAAACCCUGAUGCAGCGACGCCGCGUGAAUGAAGAAGUAUUUCGGUAUGUAAAGCUCUAUCAGCAGGGAAGAAAUGAAGUCCUUUGGACUUUGGACGGUACCUGACUAAGAAGCCCCGGCUAACUACGUGCCAGCAGCCGCGGUAAUACGUAGGGGGCAAGCGUUAUCCGGAUUUACUGGGGGUAAAGGGAGCGUAGACGGCAGCGCAAGUCUGGAGUGAAAGCCCAUGGCUUAACCAUGGAACUGCUUUUGAUACUGUGCGUCUAGAGUGCAGGUGAGGUAAGCGGAAUUCCUGGUGUAGCGGUGAAAUGCUUAGAUAUUAGGAGGAACACCGGUUGCGAAGGCAGCUUACUGGACUGUAACUGACGUUGAGGCUCGAAAGCGUGGGGAGCAAACAGGAUUAGAUACCCGGGUAGUC